rnacentral:rRNA from 1 species
CAAAGGCCUGAGAGGAGGCCACGGCUAACUUCGUGCCAGCAGCCGCGGUAAGACGAAGGUGGCAACCGUUGUUCGGAAUCACUGGGCAUAAAGAGCACGUAGGCAGGAGUGUAUGUCGGGUGUGAAAUCCCUCGGCCCAACCGAGGAACUGCGCCCGAAACUGCAUACCUUGAGGGCAGGAGGGGAGCGUGGAAUUCCUGGUGGAGCGGUGAAAUGCGUUGAUAUCAGGAGGAACACCGGCGGCGAAGGCGACGCUCUGGCCUGCUUCUGACGCUGAGUGUGCGAAAGCCAGGGGAGCAAACGGGAUUAGAUACCCCGGUAGUCCUGGCCGUAAA